rfam:Cavia porcellus supercont2_4 genomic scaffold, whole genome shotgun sequence.
GGGGAUUUAGCUCAGCGGCAUAAGCGCCUGCCUUGCAAGCAGGUAAUCGUGAGUUCGAUCCCCCGGUACCUA